rnacentral:rRNA from 1 species
CUACGGGGGGCAGCAGUGGGGAAUAUUGCACAAUGGGCGCAAGCCUGAUGCAGCCAUGCCGCGUGGAUGAAGAAGGCCUUCGGGUUGUAAAGUACUUUCAGCGGGGAGGAAGGGAGUAAAGUUAAUACCUUUGCUCAUUGACGUUACCCGCAGAAGAAGCACCGGCAAACUCCGUGCCAGCAGCCGCGGUAAUACGGAGGGUGCAAGCGUUAAUCGGAAUUACUGGGCGUAAAGCGCACGCAGGCGGUUUGUUAAGUCAGAUGUGAAAUCCCCGGGCUCAACCUGGGAACUGCAUCUGAUACUGGCGAGCUUGAGUCUCGUAGAGGGGGGUAGAAUUCCAGGUGUAGCGGUGAAAUGCGUAGAGAUCUGGAGGAAUACCGGUGGCGAAGGCGGCCCCCUGGACGAAGACUGACGCUCAGGUGCGAAAGCGUGGGGAGCAAACAGGAUUAGAUACCCCUGUAGUC